CCUANGGGAGGCAGCAGUCGAGAAUAUUUGUCAAUGGGCGAAAGCCUGAACAAGUGAUGCCGCGUGUGGGAUGAAGGCCCUUGGGUCGUAAACCACUUUUAUCAAAGAAAAACGUAAGUGAUUGUAUUUGGUGAAUAAGAGGUUACUAACUCUGUGCCAGCAGCCGCGGUAAUACGUAGGGUGCGAGCGUUAAUCGGAAUUACUGGGCGUAAAGCGUGCGCAGGCGGUUCGUCAAGUCUGAUGUGAAAGCCCCGGGCUCAACCUGGGAAUGGCAUUGGAAACUGGCGGGCUUGAGUGUGGCAGAGGGGGGUGGAAUUCCACGUGUAGCAGUGAAAUGCGUAGAGAUGUGGAGGAACACCGAUGGCGAAGGCAGCCCCCUGGGCUAACACUGACGCUCAGGCACGAAAGCGUGGGGAGCAAACAGGAUUAGAUACCCCUNUANUC
rnacentral:rRNA from 1 species